CCAGCGCACAGGGGGAGCCGCCCGCCCCGCCGCGCACUCCGCGGAGACCCCGCGGGGCUGAGGCGUCGCGGCUGCCGGCAGCGUGAGCGCAGAGCCGGCCUCCACCCGAGCUAGGAGCCCCGCGGGCCGCGCCCGCCACCGGCUCCACCCAUCCGGGUCCAGGAGGCCGAGGCCAUGGCCGCGAUAGACGAGCGGAGCCUGCACAACUUCUUUGCCAACUGGGACAAGAAGAAGAAGGAGCGGAGCAACCAGGCGGCGAGUUCCGAGGGCGCAGCCGGCAGGGCGGCGGGAGCAGUGGAGCCGCCGGGGGUGUAGGGGACGGCAGGGAGCGAGCGGGAACCCGGCUGGGUCAAGGCAGCACAGCAACCGCGGGGACUGUGGACUCAGGGGCCGCCACCAAGGCUGUGAAGAAGGACGAAGAUGAAUGGAAAGGAUUGGAGCAAAAAGAGGUUGAUUACAGCGGCCUCAGGGUUCAGGCAAUGCAAAUAAGUGAAAAGGAAGAAGAUAAUGAAGAGACAAGGUCCAGGUGAUAACUGGAAAGAAGGUGGAGAUGGUGGUGGUAUAGAAAAAUCUUCAGGUCCCUGGAAUAAAACAGUUCCAGUACAAGCACCUCCUGCUCCAGUAAUUGUUACAGAAACCCUAGAACUGGCAAUGACUACUGGUGUGUGUAGGCCCCCUGGGGCCAGGGUAACCACCACAAGGACCACCAGAAAUCUACAGUGAUACACAGUUCCCAUCCCUGCAGUCAACAGCCAAGCAUGUAGAAAGUCAGCCGGAAGGAUAAAGAAAUGGAGAAGAGAUUUGAAGUAAUAAGACACAAAAAUAGAGGUAGGGAUGAGGUUUCAAAAAACCAGGUCCUUAAACUUCAGCUAGACGGCCACUAUGCUGUGCCUAAAAACCAGAAAAGGAGCCACUCACAAUACAAUUAA